UACGUUCCCGGCCUUGUACACACCGCCCGUCACACCACGAAAGUCGGCAACACCCGAAGCCGGUGGCCUAACCCUUGUGGAGGAACCGUCGAAGGUGGGGUUGAUGAUUGGGGUG
rnacentral:rRNA from 1 species